rnacentral:rRNA from 1 species
AUUGAACGCUGGCGGCAGGCCUAACACAUGCAAGUCGAGCGAGUGGCGGACGGGUGAGUAAUGUAUGGGGACUGCCCGAUAGCGGGGGAUAACUACUGGAAACGGUGGCUAAUACCGCAUACUAUCGGAUAACCCAUAUGGGAUUAGCUAGUAGGUGGGGUAAAGGUUCAACUAGGCGACGAUCUUUAGCUGGUCUGAGAGGAUGAUCAGCCACACUGGGAAUGAGACACGGCCCAGACUCCUACGGAGGCAGCAGUGGGGAAUGUUGCACAAGGGGCGAAAGCCUGAUGCAGCCAUGCCGCGUGUAUGAAGAAGGCCUUAGGGUUUUAAAGUACUUUCAGCAGGGAGGCGUUACCCGCAGAAUAAGCACCGGCUAACUCCGUGCCAGCCGCCGCGGUAAUAC